GUUCCCAUGGUGUAGUGGGUAACACGUCUGACUAGUACUUUUCUGGGGGACCCGGUUCGAUACCUUUCGUCGGAAGA